GACGAACGCUGGCGGCGUGCCUAAUACAUGCAAGUAGACCGCAGUUGCGAACGGGUGAGUAACGCGUAGGUAACUGCCUCAUAGCGGGGGAGUACUAUUGGAAACGAUAGCUAAUACCCGAUACUGUGAGAUGGACCUGCGUUGUAUUAGCUAGGUGGUGAGGUAAAGGCUCACCAAGGCGACGAUACAUAGCCGACCUGAGAGGGUGUGCGGCCACACUGGGACUGGGACACGGCCCAGACGCCUACUGGAGGCAGCAGGAGGGAAUCGUCGGAAAUGGACGGAAGGCCGACCGAGCAACGCCGCGGUCGUGAAGAAGGUUUUCGGGUCGUAAAGCUAUGUUGUUAGAGAAGCGGUAACCACCCAGAAAGGGACGGCUAACUACGUGCCAGCCGCCGCGGUAAUAC
rnacentral:rRNA from 1 species